AUGACUUCAUGCUUUCUAAGACACCCUGUCCCCUUUAUUUCUCGGGAGUAUGUGCUUCCACCUGCUACCCAGCAGGGCUGUGGCAUUCAGUCUCAUCCACAUGCUUUUGCACCUGCCUUUUGCUCUACCAGAAUCAUUUCCUUGGUAAAUGCACAUAAGUCCUCAAGGUUCCAUUUUGAAACUUUGGCCAGUGGGUCCUUCCUGCCCAAAGUGUGUUGCCAAGGGCCCCUGCACCACUUCUGUAGGGAUGCUAUCUCCUCACUAGUCUGUUCUUCAAGACUGGGGGCUGCUGGACAACAGGGGACUGGAGGAGGAGAAAGAGGACCUGUGCAAGGCCAGAAAGUUCUGCAAGGACUGCUCAAGAGCAGGGGUCAGCAAACUAAGCCCAUGAACCAAAUCUGGCCCACUGCCUGUUUUGAUAAAGUUUUAUUGGAACAAAAAUUAAUUUAAUUAUUGCCUAUGGCUGCUCUCUGAACUACAGACCUACGAAACAAAACAAAAAUUUAGUGUGUUGUCCUUUAUAGAAAAAGCGUGCUGACUCCUUGUCUAGAGAAAGUCUCACAAUCUGACAAUCAUUGCUCUAAAAUUAAGUGUGGUCCUGGGCCAGGGGCACCAGCAUCCCUGGAACUGUGUUGGAAUGCCAGUUCUCAGGCCCCGCUCCAGCCCUGGUGAUGCAGAAAUGAUGGAGGAGGCCCAAGAAUCUGUGUGUGAGCCAGCAUGCCAGGUGAUUCUAAUGCUCCCUUAAGUUAAGAACUUCUGUUCCAAGUUACUCCCGGAAGGAGUGCCAACAAGUGACUGGCACAGCAAGAGUGCUAAUGGGCUCCUGUGGGUAACAGAGGAGUUUGGAAAGAUGUCAGGAGAGUGACAGCCCUUCUGCUGCCUGGUCCCUCUGCAGCAAAGUCUUUUGAAGGCCCCUAGGGGGGGCAGGGGGUAGCCACAAGAGGGAGGCUCUCACACCAGCAGCCGGCUGUGUGGAUGCCCAGGCCCUGCUGCCUGUGGGCCCCACCCUCAGAGUGUCGGCGCAUUUGGAGCUGCCUCCACGCAUAAAUUCAUGGACCAGCUGUCUCUUUUAAUCUGGUUGCAAGAUGAAACCAUUAAUAGAUGUCAGACACAUUGGCAAUGAUCUCUUCAUUAAUAAUUUCCUCCUUUCUGAGGAAAAAAAUUAGUAACAAGCAACCAUCAAUAAUUCAGAAGCACAAGUUAACCUUUCUAUUAGCAGAGUCACUGGCAUACACCGCACACUCCUCCAGAGCCAGGAGCUCUGGCUUGAGUAAUGUUUAGAUGGCAGGAAUAUUAAUAUGCACUAAUGCUGUCUGUCAAAACCUGCAAAUAUAAAUAACCCAAAUGCAACUUAGAAAUCAUAAGUAUGUUUCAAGUUUAACCUCAUGAUCCAACCAUUUGGUUCUGUAAGAGCACACAUUAUCCCAUAAUAUUGCUCUGUCCAAAAGCAAGACUUGACAAAGAAAUCCAUUUUCAAUUUGAGGCUCGUAUGGUCAGAAAGAUCUUUCCUUAUACCAAACUAACACUGCUGCUCUGUAAUUUCCUCCCUUCAAAGCUAGCUGUUCUCUCUGGGGACUCGCAGAAAUGGCCUGGACACAUGUCCAGGUGGCCUUUCAUUGGAUGGUGGAUGUGCUCCGGGCAAGCAUUCUCAGUUCCUUAUAAUCUUCCUGGUACAUGGUCUUCAGGUCCCCAGCAUCUGCUUCCUCUUCUCUGCCUGCUCCAUUUCUGGGAUACCCUUCUUCCAGGAAGGCUUAGCACCUGGCCAUUCCUCAGCUCACCGCCCACAUGACCAAAUACUAGUCACUCUGCCUUUCCAAAUCUGUUUCCCCAUCUGUGAAACUGGGGUGAUUAUUCCCACCUCACUGAGCUGAUGUGAGAAUUAAGUGAGUUAAUGGAUGUAAACACACCUACAAUAGGACCUGGCUGAUUCAAGAGAUCAUUGCCUGUGAUUUCUUCCUACUUCCAAGACUUAGAUAGAUCACACAGCCUAGCCUUCACUCCCAGCCAACUCUGCGAGAUACCUGGCCAGGAUCAUGGUGCAGAGAGCCAGCUGCCUCCACCUUGGGCCAAAACACUGCACAUGGUCCUAGCUAUUGGCAAGUAGACCUCAGUGUCCAGGCUGCCCUGCAUCUAAUACUUGGACUGCAUCUUGCCCAAGUGGAGUCUGUCAAGCAGCUGUUUCUUUUAAUUAAAAAGGAAACCAAGUGAAGUCUAGCAAAUACCUAUCAUGGCUGUUUGCACCCCUGGCAUGCAACGGGCCUUGUGCUGGGCAUUGAGGAUGUCAAGUUAAAGUGGCCCCAUCUGCAGGAUGCCCCAUCCAGCCCAUGCUGAGAGAUCACAGCAGCACACCAGAGAAAGGGUGUUAUUAGUAUUAGCAAGAUAACCUUCAAACAUGCCUGAGAUAUGGCUCCAGCCUUUGCUGCUUGCUUCAAGCAAUUUAGCUUUUCCGGCAAAGCAAAAGCCACUGCUGUCAUAGCAGCCUGGUGCUCUGGAGUUGGACAAGUGCCUUUUUAGAGUACUGAGGUUCCCCCAAGACUUUCAGCCCUUUUCCUAGUGCAGACUCCAAACUUGGAUUCUGGAAGAUUCCAAGUAGGGAUGGACUCAUCACUGCAAGGUGAGGUGAAUGUGUUACUCUUCCCCAUCCCCUGCCCUCAACCUGUCACCUACAAGCAUGGACCCAACACUGGUGCCCCCACUGCCUGAAGCAUGAAGUCCACAAUCCACACCAUGGCCAACAAGAGUGUCCUCUAGCUGACCCAGCCCCCCUUUAUAAGUCCAUCCCUUCCCUCAAGCACUUUAGACUCCCCCCAUUGGGAAGUUUCCAGGCAAAGGAAGAAGGGAAUUCCAGUGGAACAGCCUAGGCAAAUGCUCAGAGGCCUGAAAGAGUCUGUGUAUUCAAACAGGUGAGGAUGUGCCUGAAAGUCUGGGAUCUUAGGUGUAGUGGCUGUCUGUAAUCUGAUUUUAUUCCCUCCAGUGCACUUGCAUGCUCUUUACUCCAAGCCACACAAGACUCUCCCAGUUAUCUCCCUGUAGGCCUUUGCCUGUAUACUUCCUUCCCUCUGGAAUGCCAGAUUCAAGAACUUUUUUUUUAUCUUUCUUUGCCCUUAUCUGGCCAGGCCAAUCCUUACCCUUCAAGGCAGAGUUUGUGCAGUGUCCACAAACUGGAUAAAGAAUUAAUACCUUUUCCAUUCCUAACAUUCACAGAUGCACCUUCACCACAAGGAUGGCACCAUCUGAGGGUACCAGGACUGUGUCUUACCCACCCACACAUCCCCAAAACCAAGCCCCAGCACAACAUACAGCAAGUUCCCAGUAAAUGUUGCUUAAGACUAGGGCCAAACAUGUUGAAGAUGAGUUGCUUUCAGACAGGAGGGAUAGCAUCUAUUUGUCAAGGUCAAUGGGAAGGCCAACUCAUCAGACAGAAAUCAAAGUAAGGCUCUGGAGUGCCCAGAAUUAGAUGUAUCAGGGUGACAUUUCCCAACUGCCCAUGGUCCUAAGAACUAGCAGGAGAUCUUGUUAAUAGCUCAGAGUCCUCCUUUACCCAGGUUGAUAAACUGAAAUCUUCAAGGGACUGGAAGUUUGUCCUGUAAGACUAUACCCAUAGGAGUCUUACAAAAAAUCCUAAGUGGGUAACUAUCAGGACCACACAGGAGCAGCAUGGGCCGUGCUCUGGUCAGACUGGCAGAAACAUCUGCCAAAGAGGAACCACAGUGAAGACUGUAGAGACUUUAGUGGCCCUGUCUGCCCGUGCUCAGCCUUCUCCAGGUGGGUGGGGCUUCUCCCUCCAUCUCAGCUGUGCUUCUCUCUAGGAGUAGUCAGAGAAACUGUCAGAGAAAUUGGACAGUGACACCUCUAUAUACAGUUCUCACAGCUUAGCACCUCCAGUAAAACUUGAGACCUUCUGCAACUGCUUCCCAAAUUUUAUCUGAAAAUAAACCAGUAAGCUAGGCAUGGUAAUGUACUCCUCUAACCCCAGAACUCUGGAAGUUUGAGGCAGGAGGAUCAUGAGUUCAAGCCCAGCCCAGCCAUUAGCAAGACCUUGUCUCAAAAUUUAAAAAAACAAGAAAAGCUGAGGAUGUAGCUCAGUGUUAAGGCCCUGGGUUCAAUCCCAGGAACCCACCUCUCUGAUGGUUCACAUCUCAUCUUCUGGGCCAGGGAAGGCUUGGACCAGGGGAGGGGCUGGGUACUAAAAUGACCAGCCUACCUUUCUUAUUCACCAUGGCCACAGUAACUGACAGUCCUGCAAAGACUGGGUGCAUGGUGAGCAGUGUUUUCACCCAGUGAUCGUGGGCAGUCAAGUAACAUCUGUCCACCUCACUUAUGCCCUUUUAGCAGGUCGUCUAGAGAUCUAAGAAGUUACCUGGAGUCUGCCUUCCACCUACUUUCUCCUCCUUUCUGUUUUUAAUCAGUCAACGACUCCAUAGUUUAGUGGUGGUGAACCUAUGACACACGUGCCACACUGGGCUGUUACCAUUGAAAACUAUAAAAGGUUCACUGUCACCACCAUAGCUGAUUCAGCAGAAUAAAUACUAAUUCCUUAAAUUUCAGAAAAUAGCAUCUGUGUAAGAAGUAUUUUAUUAUGCUACUAGAAAUACAUUCCACCUAAAAUGUUAACCAUGAAUUUCAGCCCCCAGUAACUCACCACACACACACACACACACACACACACACACACACACACACACACACACACACACACACACACACACACA
rnacentral:lncRNA from 1 species